rnacentral:rRNA from 1 species
GAUGAACGCUAGCGGGAGGCUUAACACAUGCAAGUCGAGGGGUAAAUGGUAGCAAUACUAUGAGACCGGCGGACGGGUGCGUAACGCGUAUGCAACAUACCUUGUGCAGGGGGAUAGCCCGUGGAAACGCGGAUUAAUAUUCCAUAGUCCAGCUAUAUCGCAUGGUAUAGUUGGUAAAGAUUUAUCGGCACAAGUUUGGCAUGCGUCUGAUUAGCUUGUUGGUAGGGUAACGGCCUACCAAGGCUACGAUCAGUAGGGGUUCUGAGAGGAUUAACCCCCACACUGGUACUGAGACACGGACCAGACUCCUACGGGAGGCAGCAGUGAGGAAUAUUGGUCAAUGGGCGGAAGCCUGAACCAGCCAUCCCGCGUGAAGGAAGACAGCCUUACGGGUUGUAAACUUCUUUUCUGUCAGAAGAAUAAGCUUGUCGAGACGAGUGAUGCCGGUAUGACAGGAAUAAGCAUCGGCUAACUCCGUGCCAGCAGCCGCGGUAAAACACG